UACAGAGGGUGCAAGCGUUGUUCGGAAUUACUGGGCGUAAAGCGUGCGUAGUCGGUAUUGAGAGUCACGGGUGAAAUCCCAAGGCUUAACCUUGGAACUGCCUGUGAGACCUCAGUACUAGAGUGUGAGAGGGGAUAGUGGAAUACCCAGUGUAGCGGUGAAAUGCGUAGAUAUCGGGAGGAACACCUGUGGCGAAAGCGGCGCACUGGA
rnacentral:rRNA from 1 species